GAUGAACGCUAGCGGCAGGCCUAACACAUGCAAGUCGAGGGGCAGCAUAAAAAUUCAGCAAUGAGUUUUGGUGGCGACCGGCGGACGGGUGCGUAACGCGUAUGCAACCUACCUUUAACAGGGGGAUAACGGAUGGAAACGUCCACUAAUACCCCAUAAUAUCCGAAGAGGCAUCUCUUUGGGUUGAAAACUCCGGUGGUAAAAGAUGGGCAUGCGUUGUAUUAGGUAGUUGGUGAGGUAAUGGCUCACCAAGCCUACGAUACAUAGGGGGACUGAGAGGUUAGCCCCCCACACUGGUACUGAGACACGGACCAGACUCCUACGGGAGGCAGCAGUGAGGAAUAUUGGUCAAUGGGGGCAACCCUGAUCCAGCCAUGCCGCGUGAGUGAAGAAGGCCUUCGGGUUGUAAAGCUCUUUCGCGAGGGAAGAAAGCGCACUGGUUAAUACCUGGUGUGGAUGACGGUACCUUGAUAAGAAGCACCGGCUAACUACGUGCCAGCCGCCGCGGUAA
rnacentral:rRNA from 1 species